rnacentral:rRNA from 1 species
GACGAACGCUGGCGGCGUGCUUAACACAUGCAAGUCGAACGGGAGUAUUGAAGAAGCUUGCUUUAGAGAUACUUUAGUGGCGGACGGGUGAGUAACACGUGGGCAACCUGCCUUGGAGUGGGGGGAUAACACCGGGAAAUCGGUGCUAAUACCGCAUAACAUACACAUACUGCAUAGUGAGUGUAUCAAAGGAGCAAUCCGCUUUAAGAUGGGCCCGCGUCUGAUUAGCUAGUUGGUAAGGUAACGGCUUACCAAGGCGACGAUCAGUAGCCGACCUGAGAGGGUGACCGGCCACACUGGAACUGAGACACGGUCCAGACUCCUACGGGAGGCAGCAGUGGGAAUAUUGCGCAAUGGGGGGAACCCUGACGCAGCAACGCCGCGUGGAGGAAGAAGGUCUUCGGAUUGGUAAACUUCUUUGAUGAGGGACGAAUAAAGUGACGGUACCUCAAAACAAGCCACGGCUAACUACGUGCCAGCAGCCGCGGUAACAUACUCGUUA